GGGUUUACCUUGGCGUCCGACCGCAUCACAAAUGGAAAUGAACAUGGCCGGAGCGGACCGCGAGUUCCCAAGGCGCCUGCUCGCCCCGAAGGCGCCCGCUCGCCCCGAAGGCGCCCGCUCGCAGUGAAGGCAGAAGCGGCAACGCCGAGUGUUUACUGAUCACCUACCUGUCAGUGCAGGUCCUCUCGGACAAUCAGACUGUGAUAUAAUCUGAUCAGACUGGUUUCUGCAUCCCUGAAUUUUUAUUCUUCUUGUUUUGUUUAUGCAUAUAUUUAAUGCUGUGUGAAUAUUGGCAUAAUAUUAGUUUAUUGUCUUAUUAUAGCUUCCAUUAAAUAAUAGUUACUUAUGGACAUGUGCUUAAAGAAACUGUGGGAUCGAAAAGCACAAUAUUGUUAUAUUUUCUGUAAGCAAAAUUUUGAGAAGACUUUAUUCCCUCGCAGUAACACGCGCCGUUUAGAUCAAGCCUAAUUGAGGAACCCGGAGGUCAACCUUGUGGUGGGAUUGAUGCAAGGGUUUUGCAUGCAAUAUAUCUGCAACGGUUAAGCACAACAAGCAUUGCGGACUUGUUCCUUGGUAGAUGAUUUUGUGCGCUAGUGAACGCAUCCCACUGAUUCUCUAAGUAUUGUAUUAGAUAUGUUUCAUUGUACAUAUUGGUAGGAACUUAAAUCACCAUUGGAUUGGUUUGUGUUCAAAUAUUUACAGUAUUAUUGAUAGUUAUGCGUUGAAUAAAUCCCCAUGAUUGUUAACUUAGAAUGAGUUGAUUGAUAUGCAAUAUCUUUAUUUCAUAAAUAUCUUUAAUUGUGACCUUGAAUGCGAUGUAGAUAUGCUCUGGGAUAUCUUAAAUGCAGUCAACUGAAUGAUGGUGGUGGCGUCAUCCUUAUCGAUGCGGUGACCGUUAACAUUUCCGGUUCGUUGGUGAAGUGGACACUGAUCCCCUGGCAAAGCCUCUUCGCCAGCGCCUUCCGCAGCCAAGGCUAAGGAAAGGAAAGCAAUAUCUGAGCGUCUGCGAACGCCUGAAUUAGAGCUGGAUUUAUACUUGUCUUAUAUUUGGUCCCGUCCCGAGCGUAGGAUUAGACUCUUGUACUUACACAGUACAAAUGCAUAUUUUCUUAUCUAUUAUUCUUAAGUAUACAUUUUUAUGACAUUUUGUCACAUGAAAUGUUUUCAGAAAUAAAUGCUUUACUACAAAAGUU
rnacentral:lncRNA from 1 species